rnacentral:rRNA from 1 species
UACGUAGGGGGCAAGCGUUGUCCGGAAUUAUUGGGCGUAAAGAGCGUGUAGGCGGUCCGGUAAGUCAGCUGUGAAAGUCAAGGGCUCAACCCUUGAAUGCCGGUUGAUACUGUCGGGCUAGAGUCCGGAAGAGGCGAGUGGAAUUCCUGGUGUAGCGGUGAAAUGCGCAGAUAUCAGGAGGAACACCAAUGGCGAAGGCAGCUCGCUGGAACGGUACUGACGCUGAGGCGCGAAAGCGUGGGGAGCAAGCAGG